rnacentral:tRNA from 1 species
GGAAGAUCCUCGUCCCCGGUGGGGCGGCCGGACUUCAAAUCCGGUUGGGGCCGCCAGCGGUCCUGGGCAGGUUCGACUCCUGUCAUCUUCCGCCA